AAGUCGAGGGGCAGCAUGGUCUUAGCUUGCUAAGGCCGAUGGCGACCGGCGCACGGGUGAGUAACACGUAUCCAACCUGCCGAUAACUCGGGGAUAGCCUUUCGAAAGAAAGAUUAAUACCCGAUAGUAUAAUUAGACCGCAUGGUCUUAUUAUUAAAGAAUUUCGGUUAUCGAUGGGGAUGCGUUCCAUUAGUUUGUUGGCGGGGUAACGGCCCACCAAGACUACGAUGGAUAGGGGUUCUGAGAGGAUGAACGGCCACACUGGAACUGAGACACGGUCCAGACUCC
rnacentral:rRNA from 1 species